GGGGAUUUAGCUCAGCGGCAUAAGCACCUGCCUUGCAAGCAGGAGAUCGUGAGUUCAAUCCCUG
rnacentral:tRNA from 1 species